UGGCUCAGGAUGAACGCUGGCGGUCUGCUUAACACAUGCAAGUCGAACGCAACCUUCGGGUUGAGUGGCGGACGGGUGAGUAACGCGUGAGAAUCUGCCUUGGGGUCGGGGACAACCACUGGAAACGGUGGCUAAUACCGGAUAAGCCUUUGGGUAAAAAAUUUAUUGCCCCAAGAGGAGCUCGCGUCUGAUUAGCUAGUUGGUGAGGUAAAAGCUCACCAAGGCAGCGAUCAGUAGCUGGUCUGAGAGGACGAUCAGCCACACUGGGACUGAGACACGGCCCAGACUCCUACGGGAGGCAGCAGUGGGGAAUUUUCCGCAAUGGGCGAAAGCCUGACGGAGCAAGACCGCGUGAGGGAGGAAGGCUCUUGGGUUGUAAACCUCUUUUCUCAGGGAAGAAGCUCUGACGGUACCUGAGGAAUCAGCCUCGGCUAACUCCGUGCCAGCAGCCGCGGUAAUACGGAGGAGGCAAGCGUUAUCCGGAAUUAUUGGGCGUAAAGCGUCCGCAGGUGGCGAUUCAAGUCUGCUGUCAAAGCACGGGGCUUAACUCCGUUAAGGCAGUGGAAACUGAAUAGCUAGAGUGCCGUAGGGGUAGAGGGAAUUCCCGGUGUAGCGGUGAAAUGCGUAGAGAUCGGGAAGAACAUCGGUGGCGAAAGCGCUCUACUGGACGGCAACUGACACUCAGGGACGAAAGCUAGGGGAGCGAAUGGGAUUAGAUACCCCAGUAGUCCUAGCUGUAAACGAUGGAUACUAGGUGUAGCUUGUAUCGACCCGAGCCGUGCCGAAGCUAACGCGUUAAGUAUCCCGCCUGGGGAGUACGCACGCAAGUGUGAAACUCAAAGGAAUUGACGGGGGCCCGCACAAGCGGUGGAGUAUGUGGUUUAAUUCGAUGCAACGCGAAGAACCUUACCAGGGCUUGACAUGUCCGGAAUCCCGGUGAAAGCUGGGAGUGCCUUCGGGAGCCGGAACACAGGUGG
rnacentral:rRNA from 1 species